rnacentral:rRNA from 1 species
UACGUAGGGGGCUAGCGUUGUCCGGAAUCACUGGGCGUAAAGGGCGCGUAGGCGGCCGAUCAAGUCGGGGGUGAAAGCCUGUGGCUCAACCACAGAAUUGCCUUCGAUACUGUUUGGCUUGAGACCGGAAGAGGUUAGUGGAACUGCGAGUGUAGAGGUGAAAUUCGUAGAUAUUCGCAAGAACACCAGUGGCGAAGGCGGCUGACUGGUCCGGUUCUGACGCUGAGGCACGAAAGCGUGGGGAGCAAACAGG